ACGAACGCUGGCGGCGUGCCUAAUACAUGCAAGUAGAACGCUGAAGGAGGAGCUUGCUUCUCCGGAUGAGUUGCGAACGGGUGAGUAACGCGUAGGUAACCUGCCUGGUAGCGGGGGAUAACUAUUGGAAACGAUAGCUAAUACCGCAUAAGAGUAGAUGUCGCAUGACAUUUGCUUAAAAGGUGCAACUGCACCACUACCAGAUGGACCUGCGUUGUAUUAGCUAGUUGGUGAGGUAACGGCUCACCAAGGCAACGAUACAUAGCCGACCUGAGAGGGUGAUCGGCCACACUGGGACUGAGACACGGCCCAGACUCCUACGGGAGGCAGCAGUAGGGAAUCUUCGGCAAUGGACGGAAGUCUGACCGAGCAACGCCGCGUGAGUGAAGAAGGUUUUCGGAUCGUAAAGCUCUGUUGUAAGAGAAGAACGAGUGUGGGAGUGGAAAGUUCACACUGUGACGGUAUCUUACCAGAAAGGGACGGCUAACUACGUG
rnacentral:rRNA from 1 species